rnacentral:lncRNA from 1 species
UAAAAGAAAAUAUUUAUUAAAUUAAUUGCAACAUUAAAUUAAAUUUAAAAACGUGGUGGCAUUUUUUUAUAAGGAAUCGAACCCAGGUUGUAUUAGUACCAAAAUAAAACAACCGCCCCUCAACUACACUAUAAUAAUAUAUUAAAAUAGAAUUAGUGAUAUAUAUUUUCGUUAGUAUUAUAUUUAUAUUGACCCUAUCUAUCAAAUUCGAGACCCUAAAAAAUCGGAGGCCCUGUGCCGUGCGGUAGCACUUCUCGCACCCCACAGGGCCGGGCCUGGUCAUUACAAAAUAUACUUAAAAGUUAUACUAGAAGUAAAAGAUCACAAGUUCUUCAUCUUUUUACUUUAGACCAUUUAAGUCUUUCCUAGCCACAUCUUUCAUCACCACACCAAGCAUAAGUCCUGCAACAACGAUAUGUGCCAGAUUAAUGCGCCACCAACUAUUUCACAAAAGCAAGCCCGACCAAAACCUAACCAUUUUCAACAAAAUAAUAUGCAGUUUUAGUCACAAGUAGUUAACCCAUUUUCACCAAGGCAUUAGAACAUAAGUUCAUAUGAAUUCCAAAUCAGUUCAUGAUAACUAAGCAUUGGAGUGAGUAAUAUUCCAAUAGUUCCUAACCUAUCAUUGAAGGAAACCACCCAAGAGCAUGACAUCAAAGAAUGCACCAGUAGCAGACUAAGAGUAACAUCAACAACUGAAUCUAACAAAUAGUGGAACUUAAUAGCAUGAAAUUCUUCAGCUUAACAUCGCCACGUCACGAGCAAAAUCGAUAAAUAUUAGCAAUAAACAAAAAUUACCACAUUUAGUAGCAAUAGCUGCCUGCGUAAUUAGUUCACAACAGUAGUGCACGACGAGGGUAGUAAACAACCUGCAGAAACACUCCAAAUUGAUUAACAGAAUUCCAGAUUUGCAUAAGUAAACUCUACUAGCUUCAUUAAUAGACCUAUGACAGAAUUUUUCAUUUCUCACUAUAACUACUUAACAGAUUUUUUCAUGACAGCAAAAGUCAUUUUAUAAUUUCAUACAUUUCGCUCACAUUUCAUUUGAAUUUCAUUGCUGUCUUAACUGAAGUUAAAACUAACCUAUAACAUAAUUUCUAGUUAACAGAAAACGCAGUAAAGUUCACUCCAUUGUGAAUUUGCAUUUCAUAACAGAAAUAUAACUCAAUUUCAAUUUCAUUUUCAUUUAGAAUUUCAUUUCACUUUCAUUUCAUUUGAGUUUGAAUGUCACUAACUUCCUAAUAGAAUUCGCAAUUGAAUCUCAAACCAUCUAACACAAAUAAGCAACUUCCAUUUUCAUUUUAAAUUCCAAGUUCUAACAAAAUAACAGAACCAACCGAUUUCAUUUUUCACAAGUGGAAUUUCUAACAGAAUCUAAAACUAAAUUUCUAACUAACUUAUUCAUGUGAGGUGCAUUCCAAACUAACUUCUAAUUUCACUUGAAUUUCAUGUGAGUUUUUACCGGAUCCUAACCAAAAGAUAAAGGCCUAUAUAUAUUUAUCUCUUGACUCAAUCCUCAGGUGGUUGCUACCUCAUUCUUCACUCUCCAAAUCUCUGCAUCUUCACUCUUCACGACCAAUCUCCAUUAUGAAACUUGGAAGUCUCAUUCCGCAAU